CGGGUGAGUAACGCGUGAACAAUCUGCCUUUCAGAGGGGGACAACAGUUGGAAACGACUGCUAAUACCGCAUAAUGUACCGAGAGGGCAUCCUCAUGGUACCAAAGAUUUAUCGCUGAGAGAUGAGUUCGCGUCUGAUUAGCUAGUUGGUGGGGUAACGGCCCACCAAGGCGACGAUCAGUAGCCGGGUUGAGAGACUGACCGGCCACAUUGGGACUGAGAUACGGCCCAGACUCCUACGGGAGGCAGCAGUGGGGAAUAUUGGGCAAUGGGGGCAACCCUGACCCAGCAACGCCGCGUGAAGGAAGAAGGCUUUCGGGUUGUAAACUUCUUUUACCAGGGACGAAGAACGUGACGGUACCUGGAGAAAAAGCUCCGGCUA
rnacentral:rRNA from 1 species